GACGAACGCUGGCGGUGUGCUUAACACAUGCAAGUCGAGCGGGAAGCACGGGGCUUGCCCCGUGUGGAGAGCGGCGAACGGGUGAGGAACACGUGAGGAACCUGCCCCAGACAUCGGGAUAAGCCCGGGAAACCGGGUCUAAUACCGGACACCCUCGCGGGAUCGCAUGCUCCUGCGAGGAAAGCUCGGGCGGUCUGGGAUGGCCUCGCGGCCUAUCAGCGUGUUGGUGGGGUAACGGCCUACCAAGGCAACGACGGGUAGCUGGUCUGAGAGGACGAUCAGCCACACUGGGACUGAGACACGGCCCAGACUCCUACGGGAGGCAGCAGUGGGGAAUAUUGCGCAAUGGGCGAAAGCCUGACGCAGCGACACCGCGUGCGGGAUGAAGGCCUUCGGGUUGUAAACCGCUUUCGGCAGGGAAGAAGCGAAAGUGACGGUACCUGCAGAAGAAGCUCCGGCUAACUACGUGCCAGCAGCCGCCGUAAAAC
rnacentral:rRNA from 1 species